rnacentral:rRNA from 1 species
UUAGAUACCCUAUUAUACUAGUAAUUACCUGAAUUAUUAAUAGAUAUGAUCUUUAAAUUUGAAGAAUUUGGCGGUGGUUUAAUCUUGUUAGAGGAACCUGUUUUUGAAUCGAUACACCACGUGAAAUCUUACUCAUUUUAUUUAGUUUAUAUACCGUCAUUAUCGGAUAAUUUUAAGAGAAAUGAAUUAUUGAAAUUUAUAAAUUAAAGGUAAAUUAAAUUAGAUCAAGGUGUAGCCUAUAAAUGAGUUAAAAUGGGUUACAAUAAAAUGUAUUUAAAACGGAUUAGUUUUCAGGAAGAUAAAAUUAUGAAGGAGGAUUUGAUUGUAAUAAGAGUUUAAUAAGCUCUAAAGAUAUAAGCUCUAAACCAUGUACAUAUCGCCCG